rnacentral:tRNA from 1 species
GGGACGGUAGCUCAAUGGUAGAGCAUUGCCCUUUUAAGGCAAGGGUUCUGGGUUCGAGUCCCAGCCGUCUCACCA